UACGUAGGUGGCAAGCGUUAUCCGGAAUUACUGGGCGUAAAGCGCACGCAGGCGGUCUUUUAAGUUUGACGUGAAAGCUCCCGGCUUAACUGGGAGAGGUCGUUGAAGACUGGAAGACUUGAGGCAAUGAGAGGGGUGUAGAAUUCCCGGUGUAGUGGUGGAAUGCGUAGAUAUCGGGGGGAAUACCAGUGGCGAAAGCGGCACCCUAGCGUUAGCCUGACGCUCAUGUGCGAAAGCGUGGGGAGCGAACGGGAUUAGAUACCCCGGUAGUCCACGCUGUAAACGAUGAACACUAGGUGUAGGUGAUGUGAAAGUUAUCUGUACCGAAGCCAACGCGUUAAGUGUUCCGCCUGGGGAGUACGGCCGCAAGGCUAAA
rnacentral:rRNA from 1 species